UACGUAGGGCGCAAGCGUUGUCCGGAAUUAUUGGGCGUAAAGAGCUCGUAGGCGGUUUGUCGCGUCUGCUGUGAAAACCUAAGGCUCAACCUUGGGCUUGCAGUGGGUACGGGCAGACUAGAGGUAGGUAGGGGAGAAUGGAAUUCCCGGUGUAGCGGUGAAAUGCGCAGAUAUCGGGAGGAAUACCGGUGGCGAAGGCGGCAUCCUGGACCGACAUUGACGCUGAUGAGCGAAAGCUAGGGGAGCAAACGGG
rnacentral:rRNA from 1 species